AAGUGGGGAUGACGUCAAAUCAUCAUGCCCCUUAUGUUCUGGGCUACACACGUGCUACAAUGGCCGGUACAGACGGACGCAAAGCCGCGAGGUGGAGCAAAUCCUAAAAAGCCGGUCUCAGUUCGGAUUGCAGGCUGCAAUUCGCCUGCAUGAAGUCGGAAUCGCUAGUAAUCGCAGGUCAGCAUACCGCGGUGAAUACGUUCCCGGGCCUU
rnacentral:rRNA from 1 species